CCCAUCCUCAAGAGCCCCACCACCCAACUGAAAAGCCAGUCAUCCACUGCCAUAAGUGUGGAGAGCCAUGUAAAGGUGAAGUACUCCGUGUUCAGUCCAGGCACUUCCACAUCAAAUGCUUCACCUGCAAAGUGUGUGGCUGUGACUUGGCACAAGGAGGCUUUUUCAUUAAGAAUGGGGAAUACCUUUGCACCUUGGAUUACCAGCGCAUGUAUGGUACCCGCUGCAACGGGUGUGGGGAGUUUGUUGAAGGAGAAGUAGUGACAGCUCUGGGAAAAACUUACCAUCCCAACUGCUUUGCCUGUACAGUUUGCAAGCGUCCAUUUCCACCAGGUGAUCGAGUUACUUUUAAUGGAAGGGAUUGUCUCUGUCAGCUGUGUGCUCAGCCAAUGUCCUCCAGCCCAAAAGAACUGUCUGCCUCA